ACCCGCCCGUAAGGCUGGGAUAACUUCGGGAAACCCGGGGUAAUACCCGGAGCUUGGUUGAACCGCCUGGUUCAAUUAUAAAAAGUGGCUUUUAGCUACCACUUACAGAUGGACCCGCGGCGCAUUAGCUAGUUGGUGAGGUAACGGCUCACCAAGGCAACGAUGCGUAGCCGACCUGAGAGGGUGAUCGGCCACACUGGGACUGAGACACGGCCCAGACUCCUACGGGAGGCAGCAGUAGGGAAUCUUCCGCAAUGGACGAAAGUCUGACGGAGCAACGCCGCGUGAGUGAUGAAGGUUUUCGGAUCGUAAAACUCUGUUGUUAGGGAAGAACAAGUACCGUUCGAAUAGGGCGGUACCUUGACGGACC
rnacentral:rRNA from 1 species